AGGCCAGGGCCACUGACGUCCCUGAUGUAGCCUGGUGCACAUUCCUUAGUUCAAGAUCAAAAUAUAAAUUAAAAGAAAUGUCUCCAAAGAGAAAGUGAAAAAUGAAAGGAGGAAACAGGACCUCCAAAAGGAGAGACCAUUGUAUCCAGGAGGACAGAUGCACUGUUCCACCUCAAUGGCCACAGCAUGGCCACUGGAUCGCAGAGGAACGGC